rnacentral:rRNA from 1 species
UACGAAGGGUGCAAACGUUGUUCGGAUUUACUGGGCGUAAAGCGCACGUAGGCGGAUCGAUCAGUCAGGGGUGAAAUCCCAGAGCUCAACUCUGGAACUGCCUUUGAUACUGUCGAUCUGGAGUAUGGAAGAGGUGAGUGGAAUUCCGAGUGUAGAGGUGAAAUUCGUAGAUAUUCGGAGGAACACCAGUGGCGAAGGCGGCUCACUGGUCCAUUACUGACGCUGAGGUGCGAAAGCGUGGGGAGCAAACAGG